UCCGGUGUGGUGUAAAGGCCAACAAACCUCGUUCUCAGGGAGGAGCUCGGGGUUCGAUCCCCCGUGCUGGAU